GAUGGCAAGAUUUCCUUAUCCAUUUGUCCGGGAAGCAUUUUGCUUUUCAGAACAAGUCUGAAGAAGCUAAAGGGUUGAUGAAAGAUCUCCUGCAAAGUGAUGACUGAAACUCCCAGCACGUGCGAUUACUCAUCUAAAAUCCCUAACUGAUAGGCAAAUGCAUUACUAGCCAUUCUAGAAUGUCAGAGAAGGAAUAAAAGAUCCUGCAUAGGAA